CCUACGGGAGGCUGCAGUGAGGAAUAUUUGUCAAUGGACGAGAGUCUGAACCAGCCAAGUCGCGUGAAGGAUGACUGCCCUAUGGGUUGUAAACUUCUUUUAUAUGGGAAUAAAAUGUUCCACGUGUGGGAUUUUGUAUGUACCAUAUGAAUAAGGAUCGGCUAACUCCGUGCCAGCAGCCGCGGUAAUACGGAGGAUCCGAGCGUUAUCCGGAUUUAUUGGGUUUAAAGGGAGCGUAGGUGGAUUGUUAAGUCAGUUGUGAAAGUUUGCGGCUCAACCGUAAAAUUGCAGUUGAAACUGGCAGUCUUGAGUACAGUAGAGGUGGGCGGAAUUCGUGGUGUAGCGGUGAAAUGCUUAGAUAUCACGAAGAACUCCGAUUGCGAAGGCAGUUCACUGGACUGCAACUGACACUGAGGCUCGAAAGUGUGGGUAUCAAACAGGAUUAGAUACCCCAGUAGUC
rnacentral:rRNA from 1 species